AUAGAAAAAAGGGCGUAAUGAAACAAUGUUUGCCUGCCAAAACCCUUCAGUAAUGGAUAUCCGUCAGCUGCAGCACACUGGCGGUUACUCGCACUCAGGUUAAUCUUAAAGAUCCGUCUGCCCUCCCCUGUCUUGGGGAGUGAUUUCUCAUUAUCAUGAUUAUUUCCACAACUUAUGUUUCUAAAGAUUCUUCAUGCCAUACAUUGCUAGAAAGCUAUGAUUUUGAGUGAUUCCAAUAGUGCAAACCAUUUCAAGCCACGACAGCAGUCACAAUCUAAGCAUCUGUCAGACCACCGACAAAUAAACAACGAUUUUUACUUUCUUUUUUUACUCUUAAAAUUUGAUGAUUAGCUGAACUCUCCUGAUCAUAAUAUUCUGACAAAAACAGUCCUGCUGCAUCAUCAAGGAUCCCCCACGAUUUAAAUCCAGUACAAGAUCAAAUCAAAACAAUACUUCCCUCACGAUCCUUGGGUUGCUUCAAAUUUGCCACCACUAUCCCGAUGUCCCACUUUAUUUCCUAAAUAUGAAUGUUCAUGAAUUUUUGAUGAAAUUCAUGUAAUAAUGGCCACACCCUGACUUUUAGACUGAAACUUCAUUUUGCCAAUUAGGGCCUUCCAUUUACAUGUUCCAAUAGCCAAUGAGAGGCUGAGUUGAAAGAAGCUGUCUUUCCCUACAUCGUGAUGUAUCUAAACCUAGCCAAUUGAAUGCAACUGUGACAAUGACUGACGCUUUUUGUAGCCAAAGAAAUAUAACUGUUAGUUACAAGGACACUUAGCAGAAUACAAAACUAGAGAAGAAUCAGUCAGGAGGGAUAAGGAGAGAGAAAAUGUAUUUGGACACCACCUUUUUGGGGGUCAUCUUGCCUUUGCCUCUCCAUUGCACCUUCGGUCACUUUCAUUUGCACCAAAGCUGGUGAAAUUAACUGACAAUAACGUGUAAUUCCUUCAUGAGUGGAUUGAUAGCCUUGACAUUUAACUGACUUGGUGUUAUUGUAUACUGCGACGAGUAAGCCUUGCUUUAAUUUUUUAUUAUUAUUUUUUGAGAAGGGUAUAAACUUGUCAAAUCAUCCCAGACUUCUUCACAAAGAUCAUCACAUUAGAAACUGUUUUAAUGUUUGACAGCAACUGUGUAGAGUAAGGUAUAGGGAUGGGUACCAAAAACCAGUAUUUAUGGUACAGGUACUUGAAUAUCCAGUACCAAGAGUACCGUUAUCUCUCUUAUCCAUAUUUACGUUAGUCCCUCUUCUUUUUUUGUUGUUGAGUCCAAUAAAAUUCCAUCAUUAAUUUACUGUACAGAGACGCUCAUUGUUACGAGCUAACACAACCCCACAGCUAAAUGCUAUCCUAGCGCCUAUGCUAAGGCCAGUGAGCCUGUAACUUAAUGCCUCUCCUUACGUGUUGCUUAAACGUGAAUGUGUAUCCUGCCUUAUCUGAAUGUGUGUGCAACUGUCCUGUCUGUUUGAGGGGUGCGUGUAGGUCACCCCAAAGAUCCUUGUACGUGCCGCGACCAGCUCACUCGAACAGCCCGAUCCACGGAGUCACCUGGCUACGAUCUCCUCCGCCAGCCCUCUCUUUCAUAUCAGAUUAGUUCAUGUGUAAAAAGAACCUGUGAAGUGUUGAAACAAAAACAAACGUUACUUCAGAUUCAGUCUCUCAGGUGUCAGCGUCCUCGCGUCUUCCUCAUGGCGUCUCUUCGACUCAAAACCAAUUUCCCUCCGGCUCCUUCGCAGGUGCUGCGAAUGAAGAUUACAGAGACAGAGCCACCACACCCCUCAGGUGUGUCAUCAGUACUGACCCGGCUUCUCCUCCUACCAACCACGCCUACUGCUAAAGACACAGCUGUGAGACAGGGGGCGUGUGCACAAAUCAUCCUGACCUGUCUCUGUUGUUUUGGCUGGAUUAAAUUCUAACGAUGCCCAUCCCUAGUAAGCAUCUCCAAUUCAAGCAGCUAAUGAGGUUGAUCAAAUUCGCUGGUGAAGACAGAACAAUGGAAGGCAGGCCCUAUGCAGGCAAAUCUUGAAACAGUUGGUUUGAUCUUUGAAGUGCGAUGGGAAAAUGAAAUACAUGGUGAUAGACAUUAUUUUUCCAGUUCUGACAACCUUCAAAGCAGAAUUAUUUUUGUGAAUCAUCUGGAUUAUAACCGCCCACACUCGCAUCAUUUCCCAUCAUGAAGGUAAACCCCCCCUAAAACAUCUUACUUUCAUGUCAGUGUGUCAUUUGAAACCUCAGAACACUGCAUGUCAGCCCUUGCUGUUCGGAGAGAUGACACGACCUCAUUCUGGUGCUUCUCUCCUGCUGGGUCUCCCGUUUGACUCUGUUUCUGCUGCUUGUUUUUGAAGGCUUUAAAUGGGCCGGAUGGCUUGGAGACCUUUUAGGUUAGGCUCAUACAAAUGCUCUUUGUAAUUCCAAAGAGAGCUAAAGGCUUGCAAGGCCUGGCCUGUGGAGAAGCAUCCAUUGAAUCAAAACUAUAAGAAUCAUAAUAUCCUUUAUUCCGCAGAUCUGAAAGGCCUUUAAAUGUAUUCAGCUCUGUGUUGUGUGUAUAUGAUCAGUUCUUUGGCAACUAAGGAUUAUCAUAUUUGGUUGAAUUUUUUCAACUGUGUUAUAAUUAAAAAUUGUUUGUACAUGCACAACACAAACAUUGUGAUGAUCUUUAAUUAAAUCUACCUGAAUAAUGAAUAGCACACAUUGUUAUUGCGAAAUGUUUCCCUGGGUUAUUCAUGAAUGUUUUAAUAAUUCUAGUCUCAUUUCAAACAUCCUAGCCCUCCUAAAGAAAUUCAGUCCUGAAGUUAAUUGAGUCAACAUUUCAAUCACUGUCAUGGAGAAAUGCUUUAGACAGCCAUUGCUCUGGAGAGUAGCAAGAAUGUCACAGGGCACUACAGCGCUCACAUGCACUCACACACACACACACACAUACACACACACACACACACACACACACACACACACUCAAAACUGCCAAGAGGCACUGCUUCAUAAUACGUACCUUCAGUGUGCUUGCUUAUCUCAACCUCACAUGCUAAGAUGAAACAGUAACAAUCAAAAUGAUGGGAAACAGAAGGUCGUUGUGGUUAAUUGACUCAUUACAGCUUCAAUACAUCUGGUUCAAAAGACGUUAAACCAUUGUAAGCAUAUAAAAUGGUAACAC